rnacentral:rRNA from 1 species
CCAAUAGCGUAUAUUAAAGUUGUUGCAGUUAAAAAGCUCGUAGUUGAAUUUCGGGAUCAAGGAAUCGGUCAUGCCUUGGUAUGUACUGGUUUUAUUGGUUCUCACCUUCUAAAGAACCAUAAUGUCAUUAAUUUGAUGUUAUGGGGAAUUAGGACUGUUACCUUGAAAAAAUUAGAGUGUUUAAAGCAGGCUUACGCUUGAAUACAUUAGCAUGGAAUAAUGAAAUAGGACAUCAGAUUCUAUUUUGUUGGUUUCUAGGAUCGAUGUAAUGAUUAAUAGGGAUAGUUGGGGGCAUUAGUAUUCAAUUGUCAGAGGUGAAAUUCUUGGAUUUAUUGAAGACUAACUACUGCGAAAGCAUUUGCCAAGGAUGUUUUCAUUAAUCAAGAACGAAAGUUAGGGGAUCGAAGACGAUCAGAUACCGUCGUAGUCUUAACCAUAAACUAUGCCGACUAGGGAUCGGAUGAUGUUAAUUUUAUAAUGACUCAUUCGGCACCUUACG